rnacentral:rRNA from 1 species
AAUGAACGCUGGCGGCGCGCCUAAUACAUGCAAGUCGAGCGAGAAGACGUAGCAAUACGUUUGUAAAGCGGCGAACGGGUGAGGAAUACAUGGGUAACCUACCCUCGAGUGGGGAAUAACUAGCCGAAAGGUUAGCUAAUACCGCGUACGCUUCUUGGACUUCGGUUCAGGGAGGAAAGCGAUACCGUGGGUAUCGCGCUCUUGGAUGGGCUCAUGUCCUAUCAGCUUGUUGGUGAGGUAACGGCUCACCAAGGCUUCGACGGGUAGCUGGUCUGAGAGGACGAUCAGCCACACUGGCACUGCGACACGGGCCAGACUCCUACGGGAGGCAGCAGUAAGGAAUAUUGCGCAAUGGGCGAAAGCCUGACGCAGCGACGCCGCGUGGGGGAUGAAGGUCUUCGGAUUGUAAACCCCUUUCGGGAGGGAAGAUGGGAAUGGGUAACCCAGUUCGGACGGUACCUCCAGAAGCAGCCACGGCUAACUUCGUGCCAGCAGCCGCUGU